GUUUCUUUGCAGAAAUUUGCCUCCACAUUUCCAGUGAUGUGAUUGGCUCAGGUUGAAGAAGACUUUAACAUGCUAACAGUUAACUUGCUAACAGUAAAAAAAUAUAGCAGCAGUGAACUCUGUUUGUCUUGUUUCUGUUUGUGGUCAGCAGCAUGAGCUUCAUCCAGGUUCUGCUGAUAUUUCAUAGAUAGAUAAAUAUUUGUUUACAUAAUUUAUGAAAUACAUCCAUAUUUGUCUUCAUCCAUUAAAUGCUAAAAGAGCAGCUGAAGAAAAGCUGUAACAUUGAAAGCUCACCAAUUCUAAUGUCAUUUUGUUUUGAAAUGUUGGAUAUUAAAAGACAUAGAAACGUAUCUGAAACAUCUAAUAAGUGACCCUGCUCUGUAAAGAAGAAAAGGAGGAAGUCCACAACAUAAAUAGACCCAGGUUACUGAGAAAGGAAACAACACAGAGGCACAUUACUUCGGUGACUUUAACGAGGCCGUGUGUUAUGAGGUCUUCAUCUGAAAAAGGCUUGCCAUGUCUUGCGAUGAGUUGGGCGACCUCAUAACUGCUAUUGGAGCCUUUUCCUGGACCUUUUGAGCAUGAAAAAAAUACUGUUGCUGACAAUUCAGGUUUCUGAAGACUAUGGGAUGAACUGGAACGAGCAUCACAUUCACCAUGGAGGAACUUCAUCAGUACCUGACAUUCAGCUGGCCCGUGAGCUGUCAGAUGAAGAAACUAAUACGAAUAAACUAAUAAUAAGAAUAAUUAAAUCUGAGACUUUGUUUCACUGUACGAUGUAACAGUGAUGGCAAUAUAACUGUUGUUGUUCAGCAGAACAGUGUCCAGGAUGUUGGCUGUUAUAUUGUUUUACAUUUCAAAAUAAAAGUUGGGCUGAUUUAAA
ensembl:lncRNA